rnacentral:misc_RNA from 1 species
AAGUCGUAACAAGGUUUCCGUAGGUGAACCUGCGGAAGGAUCAUUAACACGUAUCCAACGAGAACCAAGAUAUCCAUUGUUAACAGUUGUACGUUUUCCUCUACCACGGCGCACUUGCUAUGUGGUAGAGGCCUAAUUUAACUUGGUCGUCAUAAAGGGGCAUGGUGACCCUGCAGUCUGUCCGCCGGCCCGUGAUGAGCCUCCAGCGAUGGCGAAGCCUUACCCUAGAAACCGUCUAGCGACACUUUCAUUCGCCCGGCCAGGACUCCAGACUGACGAUAAAAGGCUCAAUUGCCCGCUAUAACUUCUCACUAGACAGAGGUCCUGAAUCAAAGACUACUUUCGCCACUGAUUUACCAGGAUUGCUGUCAUCAUGGGCUUGCAAGAGCUCUCUAAAGGUGCACAGGGGGGUUUAACGAUGAAGAACGCAGC